rnacentral:lncRNA from 1 species
AGGCUACAAGAGAUGGUUCUGGCUAGACCCUGAAGUACUGAGAAAUGCCUAGUUGUGCAGCAACAGCCAUGUCUGAUUGGAUUGGAGGAUUCCUUCUGCACUAUUCUCAGCUCAAGUAUGGGGGUCUUGACAUAGAGGUGAGGAUACAAAGAGAAGUUGAUAGUCUGCCGCCUAGAAAAAAGCCCUCACCAGCACCUGACCGUGCUGAUACUGUGAUCUGGAACUUUCAGCCUCCGGAACUGUGAGAAAUAAAUGUUCGUUGUAUAAGCCACCUGGUCAAUGUUGAUUUGUUAUAGCAGCCCAAGCUGAUUGAGACUGAUCAAGAUAAAGGGUUAACUAUUACAUGAUAUA